GAUGAACGCUGGCGGCGUGCUUAACACAUGCAAGUCGAACGGAAAGGCCCAAGCUUGCUUGGGUACUCGAGUGGCGAACGGGUGAGUAACACGUGGGUGAUCUGCCCUGCACUUCGGGAUAAGCCUGGGAAACUGGGUCUAAUACUGGAUAGGACCACUUCUUGGAUGUUGUGGUGGAAAUUUUUUUCGGUGUGGGAUUAGCUCGCGGCCUAUCAGCUUUUUGGUGGGGUAAUGGCCUACCAAGGCGUCGACGGGUAGCCGGCCUGAGAGGGUGUACGGCCACAUUGGGACUGAGAGACGGCCCAGACGCCUAAGGGAGGCAGAAGUGGGGAAUAUUGCACCAUGGGCGCAAGCCUGAUGCAGCGACGCCGCGGGGGGGAUGACGGUCUUCGGGUUGUAAAAUACUUUCGCUAGGGACGAAGCGUUUUGUGACGGUACCUGGAGAAGAAGCACCGGCUAACUACGUG
rnacentral:rRNA from 1 species